rnacentral:rRNA from 1 species
GACGAACGCUGGCGGCGUGCUUAACACAUGCAAGUCGAACGGAAAGGCCCUGCUUUUGUGGGGUGCUCGAGUGGCGAACGGGUGAGUAACACGUGAGUAACCUGCCCUUGACUUUGGGAUAACUUCAGGAAACUGGGGCUAAUACCGGAUAGGAGCUCCUGCUGCAUGGUGGGGGUUGGAAAGUUUCGGCGGUUGGGGAUGGACUCGCGGCUUAUCAGCUUGUUGGUGAGGUAGUGGCUUACCAAGGCUUUGACGGGUAGCCGGCCUGAGAGGGUGACCGGCCACAUUGGGACUGAGAUACGGCCCAGACUGCUACGGGAGGCAGCAGUGGAGAAUAUUGCACAAUGGGCGGAAGCCUGAUGCAGCAACGCCGCGUGCGGGAUGACGGCCUUCGGGUUGUAAACCGCUUUCGCCUGUGACGAAGCGUGAGUGACGGUAAUGGGUAAAGAAGCACCGGCUAACUACGUG